rnacentral:rRNA from 1 species
GACGAACGCUGGCGGCGUGCCUAAUACAUGCAAGUUGAGCGCUGAAGGUUGGUACUUGUACCAACUGGAUGAGCAGCGAACGGGUGAGUAACGCGUGGGGAAUCUGCCUUUGAGCGGGGGACAACAUUUGGAAACGAAUGCUAAUACCGCAUAAAAACUUUAAACACAAGUUUUAAGUUUGAAAGAUGCAAUUGCAUCACUCAAGGAUGAUCCCGCGUUGUAUUAGCUAGUUGGUGAGGUAAAGGCUCACCAAGGCGAUGAUACAUAGCCGACCUGAGAGGGUGAUCGGCCACAUUGGGACUGAGACACGGCCCAAACUCCUACGGGAGGCAGCAGUAGGGAAUCUUCGGCAAUGGACGAAAGUCUGACCGAGCAACGCCGCGUGAGUGAAGAAGGGUGUCGGAUCGUAAAACUCUGUUGGUAGAGAAGAACGUUGGUGAGAGUGGAAAGCUCAUCAAGUGACGGUAACUACCCAGAAAGGGACGGCUAACUACGUG